rnacentral:rRNA from 1 species
UGAGGAAUAUUGCACAAUGGGGGAAACCCUGAUGCAGCGACGCCGCGUGAAGGAUGAAGGCUUUCGAGUUGUAAACUUCUUUUCUGGGGGAAGAGGAAGGACGGUACCCUAGGAAUAAGACACGGCUAACUACGUGCCAGCAGCCGCGGUAAUACGUAGGUGUCGAGCGUUAUCCGGAAUUACUGGGCGUAAAGGGCACGCAGGCGGCUGUUCAAGUUCGACGUGAAACCUCCUGGCUUAACCGGGAGAA